ACCGGGGCCCCCUUGGAUGUCACAUUCGUAGGAAGAGAGAGAAGUCUUGGACCAUGUGUGUAAUUCGAGCGUGGGACUGUGCAAUUCUCGGAUUGGGAAAGGGAGGAGUGGAAAUAACCCCGGCAGUGCCAGGCUUGCUGGUGGUCAGGAACAGAUGAUUCCAGCCCUGUGCUGAUCGCCUGCCUUCCUCCUGCCAUUCAGAAUGCUGCUGUCUCGUGUACUUACUGUUAAGGAUCCUGGAAAAGGGAGUGGUUCCUCCUAGCUGCAAACAAGGGCGCUACUUUUCUUUUCUCUUUAAUAGAAUUACGUUUUAUAGGUGUGUCUAGGCAACACAAGGGAAUGUGAAAGACUUUCAGAGGGAAUGUUUGUGAAUACAUCUGGUGUGUACUAAAAAGCUGGAAAACCCCUAAGUAAAUGCAAUAUCGAUAGAAAGCGAGUUUCUUGAAGAGUCAUCUGCUAAACUCCACUAGAGUCAUCUCUACAUCUCUGUUCAUCAUGAGAAAUGCUCAGCGACUGCAGACAUAAAGAGAAAGCUUUCAAUUAAAGUUUCAAUGAUGGGAUAGGAACUGAGAAGUCUGUGGAGUUUUCUGCCUAGGAGUACCCUUGGAAAAGCCACUGCUAUGCCCAACCAGCACUGGGAAUCCCAGAUCACAUGCAAUCAUAGGAGUUGCCCUGGAGGCAGAAGCUCAGCACAUGUUCUGGUACAAGGAGAUUACAGUGUUGUGCAAAGCAAAGGGAUGAAUGAUGCCCAACUCUCUAACAUGGGCCUCGGUUUCCACAUCGAGGUUGGAAAUGAGCUAGGAAGCAGAUCCACCAUAAAUGGAGAAAGAAGAGAAACAAGUUGAGCUUUUAAUGACCCCGUAGCCUGACUCUUUGGUAUGGAAAUGGAAAGAGAUCCUCAUGGAAACAUAAAUAAAAUAUAUCACAUGUAACUUAUACCAAUAAUUAUUUUCUCCCCCAGUACCUCAAUUUUGCCCAGAUUGGACUCUAUUUUAUUUCCUUAUUUUUCCACAGUAAUUUACUUAAGUAAAACCAGGAUUUAUUUUAUUCAUCUCCAUGUCAGUUGCUAAGUCCAAGGGAUGUAUAUAGUUUAAAAAAUAUCACAAAGGAUGAUAUGGUGAAAUUGAACAACACAUUAUUACCUGAUGUACAGUCAUUGAUUUUGUAUACUAGCCUUUACCCCUGGCUACUGAUAAUUUUGGAUUUUGAAGAUUCAAAGACAGAGACUUGUAAAUACUUUAGUUUUUACACUUCUUUAUCAUACUCAUACCUGGGAUGGAAAAGUAUCAUUUAAUAUAUUAAGAACAUUGUUAUAGUACAUGUAUUUAAAUAACUCACAAGAGCAAGUAAUCUUACCUCAUGUCAUCUAUUUUUGAAAAAAUAUUUUGUGUAUUUCCACAUGCUUCUUCCAGAUGACCUUUAGCAAAACUUUGUGAAGUUUCAUUGUGGCUGUUGUCUUAGAAAGAUGGUCUUGUUAAUAAGGUCAGUGUUUUAGCCUUGCAAUAUAAGAUUAUGUGCAUUUGUUUAGAGGGAGACUUUAGGAUACAGCGAAGUGUUUUACAAAUGUUUACCAUUUUUAUUCUUAUUAGAUUUUUGAAAGUAUUUGGUUUAAAAUUUUCUUCUUUUUAUUCAACCAGCUCUUUAAAUUACCCAUCAAUUCUUGUUAAGAGUGUGUAUUGUAUAUCUCUCUAUACAUUUCAUGUAUUUUUGUAUGAAUUGUGCUAUUUUUAUAAUUUUUCUAUUUAGCCUCUGUAUCCAAUAUGAUUCAAUGUAUACAUGGAUGCCAUACGUAGGUACUGAUUAUUUCCUCUUUUAUUAUUAAUAAAUUCUAAUUUAUUUCAAUGUGUUA
rnacentral:lncRNA from 1 species